ensembl:snRNA Gm23926 predicted gene, 23926
UCACUUUGGCAGCACAUAUUCUAAAAUUGGAAUGAUACAGAGAAGAUUAGCAUGGCCCCUGUGCAAAUUCGUGAAGCAUUCCAUAAUUUU